CGUAAAACUGGGGAGUGCUGCCGGGGCCCCGCAGCUGUCACCUCGGACAGCCGCCCCACGGCCGUGUGCCGCGUCGGUCUGGGGAUGGAACGGCAGCGAUCGGCCAAGAGCUGAGCUCUGCUGACAUGGAGCAGCGGGCCUUGGGUGGGAUCACUGCGAGCCCGGGGCCUGAGCUGCCCCGCGCGGUGUUCCCGUGGCUUUUCCCUAUAGUGAGGGAAGGCUGAGCCCCACCGCUGUCCGCGUCCAUUCCCCGCCCAUCCCAUCCCGGUCUCCAUCACCCAUCUUUAUCCACAUCGCUGUGCACCCCAUCUCUAUCCCUAUUCCAUUCCCAUCUCAAACAAAUCCUCAUUCCCAGUCUCAUCCCAUCUCUGUUCCUGUGCCAUCCACCUCCCAAUCCCCAUCACGUCCCCACAUCAUCCCCUACUCAGUCCGUAUCCCACUUCCAUUUCCAUCCCCAUCUCAUCCCCGACUUCAUCCCAUUCCCACGCCCAUCCCAGCCUCCAUCUCACCUCCAUCUCCAUCCCAUCCUCAUCCUCAUCCCCACCCCGUUCAGUUUCCCCAAACCAGAGCUCUCUCUUUCCAACACGACUGUACCGAAGUGCAUCGUUCUAACGGAGACUGUCAUGUGAUGGCGGUGCAGCACGGCGGCUGCGGGCACUGCGCUCCCGCUGGGGCACCGGGUUGGAGUGCCCUGGGAUGUUCCCCGGGACAUCCCCCGUAACAGUGGGACACGGCACGCAGCGCACUUUGCUCACGCUUACAGACCGUCCUCACCCCACGGGGUCCUUCCCCAGCACGAGCAGGAGCAGUUUGCUGCGGGACCCCGCUCGGCCUGUCUGCUCCUGAACGACCCGGGGCACCACUUCGGGGCAGGAGGGCCGAACCCUGCGGGGUGUCAGCAGCGAGUGGGAGAGUGAGAGCUGCCCGCACCCCCUGGCUGAGGCCGGACCAGGGCAGUAGGGACCCAGCCAUGCAAAUGUCCCUCGCUGGCAGUUUUGUAAACAGAGCCGCUCCGAGGACGGGACGGGACGGGACGGACGGGCGAAC
rnacentral:lncRNA from 1 species